rnacentral:rRNA from 1 species
UACGGGGGGGGCAAGCGUUGUCCGGAAUUACUGGGCGUAAAGGGCUCGUAGGUGGCCAACUAAGUCGGACGUGAAAUCCCUCGGCUUAACCGGGGAACUGCAUCCGAUACUGGAUGGCUUGAGUUCGGGAGAGGGAUGCGGAAUUCCAGGUGUAGCGGUGAAAUGCGUAGAUAUCUGGAGGAACACCGGUGGUGUAGACGGCUAUCUGGACCGUAACUGACGCUGAGGCACGAAAGCGUGGGUAGCAAACAGG